GAUUCCGUAGUGUAGUGGUUAUCACGUGUGCUUAACACGCACAAGGUCCCCUGUUCGGCCUGGGCGGAAUUA
rnacentral:tRNA from 1 species